UGGUAAAUCUUAGCUGCCAGUGUAUUUACUAGAGAAAUUGCUGAAGUUUUUGCCAUGUUGUGUCUUUAAUUCAUACAAUAUGACCCAAACAAACUUUUAGGGAGAUGAGCUCAAGUUUUCAUUUAUGAUUUAGGGAAGUGUUAACCAGAUAAUUUUAAGCAAAACACCAAAUAGUGCACAAUUACUAUACCAUAUUAUAAUGUAAUCUACUACAUCACUAACUACACCAUGUUUUAUCUAUACAGGUAGAUAUAUACCUAUUACACAGAUAGCUGUAUCUUACAAAGCAAUGAUAUAUAGCUAUGUGUAUGUGUGCUUUACUUCUUAUUACACUUAGAAUAUAAUGGCUUAAACCCUCAGGUCAUUUGUAAGUACACACAAAGGAACAGUUGAAAUAAUCCGGCUGGAUUACAGGGUACAACAGAGCAUUUAGAAUUUAAUUUUAAAUUUAGUCUAGUCACUUAAAUACUAGAAACUAAUGUGAUUACAGUAUGAAUCAAGAUGAAUAUAGAUUUAUUUACCAAUUAUUAGAGAAGAUUCCUUGCAGUUUAACAUGCGUGGCAUUGAGAUAAAUGAAAGGAUGGAAUUGUGUUUUAAAAACUUGCAAAGGAAUAACCUCUUCCUUCCAAUUCCUGUUUCUAAAUUUCACUGAACAGGUAACAUUUUACCUCUCAUACUUUCCUGGAAAUACCCAGUCAACCAAGGAACAGUGAUUAUGUAUCUGAAAGAUACAAGGAGUGUAACACAAAGUUACUCACUGUGAUCCACAAGUGUUAAGUUUUUUUUGAAAUCUUAUGUUAAAAUUUCAUGCAUAUUUCAUAUUCAGUAUUAUGAUAUACUCAUGUAAUUUUGGUGAUGAUAUAUUCCUUCCCCAUUAAAUCUUCAGGUAAAAUUAUGCUCUG